AACGAACGCUGGCGGCAGGCCUAACACAUGCAAGUCGAGCGAGGACUUCGGUUCUAGCGGCGGACGGGUGAGUAACGCGUGGGAAUGUGCCCUUCUCUACGGAAUAGCCCUGGGAAACUGGGAGUAAUACCGUAUACGCCCUAUUGGGGAAAGAUUUAUCGGAGAAGGAUCAGCCCGCGUUGGAUUAGGUAGUUGGUGGGGUAAUGGCCUACCAAGCCGACGAUCCAUAGCUGGUUUGAGAGGAUGAUCAGCCACACUGGGACUGAGACACGGCCCAGACUCCUACGGGAGGCAGCAGUGGGGAAUCUUAGACAAUGGGGGCAACCCUGAUCUAGCCAUGCCGCGUGAGUGAUGAAGGCCUUAGGGUUGUAAAGCUCUUUCAGCUGGGAAGAUAAUGACGGUACCAGCAGAAGAAGCCACGGCUAACUCCGUG
rnacentral:rRNA from 1 species